rnacentral:rRNA from 1 species
UGGGGGAAUAUUGCACAAUGGGCGAAAGCCUGAUGCAGCGACGCCGCGUGAGCGAAGAAGUAUUUCGGUAUGUAAAGUUCUAUCAGCAGGGAAGAAGAAAUGACGGUACCUGACUAAGAAGCUCCGGCUAAAUACGUGCCAGCAGCCGCGGUAAUACGUAUGGAGCAAGCGUUAUCCGGAUUUACUGGGUGUAAAGGGAGCGUAGGCGGUCUUAUAAGUCUGAUGUGAAAGCCCGGGGCUCAACCCCGGGACUGCAUUGGAAACUGUAGGACUAGAGUGUCGGAGGGGUAAGUGGAAUUCCUAGUGUAGUGGUGAAAUGCGUAGA